GAGGGUAUAGCUCAGUAGCUGAGUGUGUGCUUAGCAUGUACGAGGUCUUGGGUUCAAUCCCCAGCACCUUCA
rnacentral:tRNA from 1 species